AUUGAACGCUGGCGGCAGGCCUAACACAUGCAAGUCGAACGGUAACAGGGAGAGGCUUGCUUCUUUGCUGUCGAGUGGCGGGGGGGGGAGUAAUGUACGUCAAACUGUCUGAUGGCGGGGGGGAACUAGUGGAGACGGUAGCGAAUACCGCAUAACGUCCCAAGGCCAAAAAGCGGGACAUUCGGGCCUCUUGCCAGCGGGAAUGACCAGAUGGGAUUAGCUAGUAGGUGGGGUAACGGCUCACCCAGGCGACGAUCCCUAGCUGGUCUGAGAGGAUGACCAGCCACACUGGAACUGAGACACGGUCCAGACUCCUACGGGAGGCAGCAGUGGGGAAUAUUGCACAAUGGGCGCAAGCCUGAUGCAGCCAUGCCGCGUGUAUGAAGAAGGCCUUCGGGUUGUAAAGUACUUUCAGCGGGGAGGAAGGGAGUAAAGUUAAUACCUUGGCUCAUUGACGUUACCCGAAGAAGAAGCACCGGCUAGCUCCGUG
rnacentral:rRNA from 1 species